rnacentral:rRNA from 1 species
GAUGAACGCCGGCGGCGUGCUUAACACAUGCAAGUCGAACGGUGAAGGCGGAGCUUGCUCUGCUGGAUCAGUGGCGAACGGGUGAGUAACACGUGAGCAAUCUGCCCCUGACUCUGGGAUAAGCGCUGGAAACGGCGUCUAAUACUGGAUACGAGCUGCGAAGGCAUCUUCAGCAGCUGGAAAGAAUUUCGGUCAGGGAUGAGCUCGCGGCCUAUCAGCUUGUUGGUGAGGUAAUGGCUCACCAAGGCGUCGACGGGUAGCCGGCCUGAGAGGGUUACCGGCCACAAUGGGACUGAGACACGGCCCAGACGCCUACGGGAGGCAGCAGUGGGGAAUAUGGCACAAUGGGCGAGAGCCUGAUGCAGCAACGCCGCGUGAGGGACGACGGCCUUCGGGUGGUAAACCUCUGUGAGCAGGGAAGAAGCGAAAGUGACGGUACCUGCAGAAAAAGCGCCGGCUAACUACGUG